UUUAAAUUGGUUUGGCAUGAAUUGGACUAAGUACUACCUAAUUAAUAAUAACUAAGCCAUAUAAAUAGCAAGUUGUAAACUAAAUAUUUAAUGCCCUGAUUAAAACAAAACCAAACAUAAAAUCUGCAGUUAUUUAUUUAUUUAAAAAUUAAACAACUUGAACACAACAACCUGGCAGUAAUACAUUCAUAGAAUAUUUCUCAAAUUCAGUAUGUUAAAAAAAAGUUUCUCUAACAAGGACUUUACACCUAUAAAACUUUAUUUAUCUUUAUCAAUCUUUUGUUAUUUAUUGCUUUUAGUGCUUGUUCUGCAGCUUGUCCAUCUAAAGAUGCAUGUACAGUGCCAGCGGAUUUUUGUAGUCAUUGCAAUAAAAAACUUGUUGCUGAUGCAAGAGAUUAUCUUAAACCAAGCUUUAAGAGAGUUUUCAAAUGCAUUUUGACUCUUUUUGUAAUCAUCUAUGUUUUUAGAGAUGAAGCAUAUUGCUGUAGAAGAAUAGCAAAC